CCAAUAGCGUAUAUUAAAGUUGUUGCAGUUAAAAAGCUCGUAGUUGAACUUCGGGGUUUACUCAUUGGUCAGGCUUAAUUGUCUGUACUGGUGAGAUGGAUCUCUACCUUCUGAGGAACUUUCAUGUCAUUAAUUUGGUGUGAUUGGAAAUCAGGACUGUUACUUUGAAAAAAUUAGAGUGUUUAAAGCAGGCUAACGUCUGAAUACAUUAGCAUGGAAU
rnacentral:rRNA from 1 species